GGUUUUGAGACUGAAUUUGAAACGCGCUUAGCAUUUUGUGCCAAAUGGGACACCGUUCACGCCGCGUGAUGACAUUAAGCACGCUUCAAAUGCACCAUUCGACGGUGCGACUCUGAAAUGAGACACAGCAUAAGUAAUUAAAAACGACUAUUCAUACUGCACCUCACCUAUGGAAAGCCAUGCCCCUGCUAGGUCCCCACCAUGAGGUGAAGGCAACAGAGUCUGUGUGGACAACUACGUGUGGACAGUUCACAAUGAAGCUAUGCUAAGUGCUCUAAAUGAUCAGCUGCUAACUUUGUCAGAAGAUGGCAGAUAUGAAAGCCCAGGUCACAGUGCUACUCAUGGAACCUACUCGCUUCUAGACACCAAAUCAAAGUUGGUAGUAGCGCAGGAAACUGUAUCUGUCACAUAGGUGAGGAACAGUUAUUGGCUUGAGUUGGAGGGUCUGGAGAGGUGCCUUUCUAAGUUAGAGGAGCAUGAUGUGAAGAUAUCUGUUUUGGCCACUGACUGCCACCCAUCAGUACAGACAGUCAGGCGUGAAGAAUAUAAAUGCAUACAGCAUGAAUAUGACCUGUAGCACAUUGUGAAGUCCGUCAAAAAAUGACUCCUGCUCUGCCACAACAGGGAGUUGUUUGAGUGGAUCAGAUUGAUCACAAACCACCUCUGGUUUUGUGUCACCACAUGUUAGGGAAGCAUGACCAAGUUAAAAGAGAAGUGAAUCUCACUCCUGAGUCACUUUACAAACGUGCACCACUGGGUAUCUGGUGAGACCACGAUUAAGUGUGAGUACCCUCCCUACACACCUGAGGGAGAGAGUCAGCGUCCAUGGCUCCUACCUAGCUCUGCAGCAUUCCAGAACCUUCAGAAGACUGCGCUUGACAAGCAGAGAAAAACUACACUGGGCGUCCACACGAAACAGCUAGAAAGUCUUCACUCUCUGUACACAAAGUAUGCCACAAAGAGGAAGAAAUUUCUGGGAGAGUUUGGAGGCACUUCUGCAUGUUGCUGCUGUGGAUCACAACAGUAAUGUAAACAGGGAGACAGCUAAAACAAAAGAAGGAGAGGAAAAACAUAAACACCAGGGGCUCUAUUUUCGUGUAUGCCCGUGAGGCGGCGGAGGGCGGCGAGCCCCGCGUACAGCCAGUUUGGUAUUUUCGUGGACUGAGAAGCACGGAGGCGAGCCGAGAUCCACCAAGCUGGGCGUGGUGGCGUGGCAGGGGUAGGUGUCGACAGAAUCAGCGGGCGCAGUGACAUUUUCGUGCUCGCCAACGGUGUGUAAAGUGCGCUGAAAGCUCGCUGAUUCAAACCUGGUCAGCUUUCAGCGCAGGCGGAAUGCAGCUGGUCUAGUAGUAUUUUGGUAGACCGGCGGCGUAUCGGCAUACGUCACUGAUGCCUCACCGGCAGGUUUCCACAGUGUCAGGCACAUUUCAGUGCAAUAAAUAAUCAUCAUCAACUAUUAAUCUGAGUUAGCACAUACAUUUAGAUCUAUAUCGGUAUAUUCUGAUCUAUAUCUGAUCUGAUAAGCGCGUUUGGCACGCGUUUGGACACACAACCUGACCGAAUCAACACAGCUGAAACCGCAUUAAAUUAAAUUAAAUAUCUAGUAAAUAGACACACAUGAUGAAGUUAACAAGAUAUGUAAAUCGUCUCUGCAUUAUCUACUUUAAGCCGACAUACGGAUAUUAUAAUAUUCAGUUUUGUGAGCCAAAUUUAUUUUAUAUGCCAACAUCUAUGUAAGAAAGAGCCAGGCCACGGAGCGCGAUGCGUUAUUUACGCACAGAUGGUUUCGAUUUUAAUGCCAUU